rnacentral:rRNA from 1 species
UACGUAGGUGGCGAGCGUUAUUCGGAUUCACUGGGCGUAAAGGGUCCGUAGGGGGUCUGCCAAGUCCGAUGUGAAAGCCCACGGCUCAACUGUGGAACGGCAUUGGAUACUGGCGGGCUGGAGUCUGCGAGGGGUGAGCGGAAUUCCUGGUGUAGCGGUGGAAUGCGUAGAUAUCAGGAAGAACACCGAUGGCGAAGGCGGCUCACUGGCGCAGUACUGACCCUGAGGGACGAAAGCGUGGGUAGCAAACAGGAUUAGAUACCCUGGUAGUCCACGCCUUAAACGUUGUGCACUAGAUGUGGGGGGUUUGACCCCUUCCGUGUCCAAGCUAACGCGAUAAGUGCACCGCCUGGGGACUACGGCCGCAAGGCUAAA